rnacentral:lncRNA from 1 species
AUUUUUUUUAGAUGUUGAUGGACCUUUAUUUUAUUCAUUCAUUUAUACACGGUGCUGAGAAUCAAACCCAGUGCCUCACACAUACUAGGCAAGCACUGCACCACUGAGCCACAACUCCAGCCCAGGUCACUCAUUCUUUAACUCAGUUAUUUGUUCACCCAACAGUGUGGAGCUGCCUGCUAAGCGUCUGAUAAUUCUAGGGACUGGGGUUCUGCAGGAACCAGGUAAUUUUCUAAUACAGUGGGUUUGCAGAGAAGCAGACUCUAUCCGGGGCAUCAGCAACAAGGCCAGCACACCUCUCCACCCCGCAAUCUAGAAGUGGGAGACAAUGAACGAACGAAUGAAUGAGUCAGUUUGAAGAUACAGAGAAUCAAACACUGACGGAACGGGAUGCUCAGCCUGCUUAAGAGAGGUGUGAGGGACAGAGGAGCUACCCUCACGGUAGAACCACUGGGUGAGGGUCCCAAUAAACGCUCCUUAGGGGUCAGCUGUUAUUAUUACCUGUAUUAUUUUGAGUCCUGGCUCCCCCAUGUGCCAGUUCUAGGCUCUGGAGUUUCCUCCUUUGUAAGCGCUCAGGUUGCGGGGCAGGGAGGGCGGCGGCUAGCCCUAGGAGGGCGCCCCAAACAAGUUUGCGCCUCCCGGCCGGGCUGCGCCCCGGGGGCGGGACGGCCUCUAGGGGCCGACGGCGAACUACAUUUCCCACAAUCCCGGUCCGCCGCCAUCUCGGCCGGUGGGCGGUGGCUGCGUUGGGUCGGGCCCUUCUAGCCCGAGGGCCGGCUCUGUCCACCCCAACCAGAGCCGCCUCCACUGGGGGCGUGGGACCCCCGCCAAGUAGGACGUCUGAGCACCUGGGCAGCUCCUGCCCGCCUUUUCCACUUCUCCAUUCCUGGGAACCCGGUCCACGUGUCGGUCCGCUCAGAGGAGCCCGCUCGUCCCUUGCAGGCCAAGGGGUUUAAGGACCCAGACCCCUGGGUCUCCCAUGACUCCUCACGGACCCACGCCCUACUCCCAGGACCCUCUCCCCUCCAUGCCUCUGUGCGCCCGCCCCCGCCCCCCAUUCUGUCUCAAUGAGCACAGAAUAAGACCGGAUCCAAUGAGGGCUAGAGAUCUGGCGGGUGCGCAAGUCCUGGUAUCAGAUGCUUAGUAUAAGCCUGGGUUUGGGGCUAGGAGGUUAAAUUAGGGGCGUGCGAACAGCCAGGCCCAGACCUCCGCGGACUGGACCCUCCCCUACCCGCUACCCGGAGGCGGGGUGGGGGUGAGGGGCCCAAAGCGGGGCUGGCCCUUUA